AAGACAUGAUGUGGACACUUCCUUUGCAUUUUCUUAAAUCUCUCCCAGGCUUCAUACAAAGAUUCACCAUCAAACUAAACAAAACUGGUAAUAUUAUUUUUAAGUUU